rnacentral:rRNA from 1 species
GAGUUUGAUCUUGGCUCAGAUUGAACGCUGGCGGCAUGCCUUACACAUGCAAGUCGGACGGCAGCGCGGGAGCAAUCCUGGCGGCGAGUGGCGAACGGGUGAGUAAUACAUCGGAACAUGUCCAGUAGUGGGGGAUAGCCCGGCGAAAGCCGGAUUAAUACCGCAUACGAUCUAUGGAUGAAAGCGGGGGAUCGCAAGACCUCGCGCUAUUGGGGUGGCCGACGGCGGAUUAGCUAGUUGGUGGGUAAAGCCUACCAAGGCGACGAUCCGUAGCUGGUCUGAGAGGACGACCAGCCACACUGGGACUGAGACACGGCCCAGACUCC